AACACAGAAGCAGAAACUGAGAAAACCCAAUAAAUCUCUUUAUCUAUUAGUAAUUCCGAUGAAACAAGAAAAAGGUCAACAUAAUGACUAAAAUGAAGAUUCUAGGAGGCUUGAUGACCUGGAGUUUGACAGAAUUUUGUUGCGUCCACUGUGCCUUGCUUCAGGGGGCCUUCUGAAAGAUGAGAAGAGUAGUCUUAGAGAAGUAAUUUGCCGAUGUCACAUAGCAAGGAAUCAGAACGUGAUAAAACCCAGUGGGCCUGACACCAGAGCCCCUGCAUUUAAUCACUGUGUAUUUGCAAUGGAUACAAGUCUGAAAUAUAACAUGGAGAAAAUUCUGACCUGAAUACGUUGCUGGAAAAUGUCUCCAGUUCCAGAGGAAAUUCUACUAAAAGCGUCGGUCAUGCUAUUGGAGUUUGAUGUAUCUGGAACGAAGAACUUUAAACCUCCUGAAAUACAUGGUAGGGAUGUUAACUAUUAAAAUAAGUAAAAUAAAACAAAAAUAAAAUGUUAGGCCUUUUCCAACAAACUUUCUUUACAUUACAGUGUUUUGGGGAAAUGGGAGCUGUGCUUGACUUGCUUUGCCUAACAUUCUGUACAACCACAUGAUGAGAAAACUGCUUCAGAGAGGCCAUCAUGCUCUUUAUAACAAGGACAUAUUACACAAUAGUGAAGGAGCCAGGAUGAAAGCACAGCUGCCUGCUUGCAGAGACUAAGGCUUUAAUCACUCAAAGCAGCUGGAGACUGCUAGAUUGCCAGAUGACUGAGAUAUAGUCUUCUGCAUACAAUGACAUGGAAAAUCUCCAUAUACUGAACAUUCAUUUUCACUCCAGAUUCACAGUCUGCUUCCUCAACCAGGGAUAUUUACCAGUGAGCAGAAAGUAGCCAGUAGGAACUUUUCAUUACACAUAAGAAUUUUGGGAAAAGAUGUUGGUUGGAAAGAGUUUCAAUUAAUUAGUAGCAAAAAUGAGGGUUAGAAAUUAUUUGUGUAUUUCAUUUAUCUACAUGAUCUCAACUUUUGGGCCACAUUCUGAAUUUGUUCCUCCCACCUCCCCCCAUCCCUCAAAAUAGGAUGUCCUUGGCUAUUCCAAACCUUUUGCCUCCUCCAAUUCUCACCCUUACCUCCUGAAAAUUAAAAUAAUUAAAAACUGAUAGAAAAGGCGUGGUGGCCAGCGCCCGUCGUCCCAGCUACUUGGAAGAGUGAGAUGGGAGGACCACUUGAGCCCUAGAGGUCGA